AUUGAACGCUGGCGGAAUGCUUUACACAUGCAAGUCGAACGGCAGCACGGACUUCGGUCUGGUGGCGAGUGGCGAACGGGUGAGUAAUACAUCGGAACGUGCCCAGUCGUGGGGGAUAACGUAGCGAAAGCUACGCUAAUACCGCAUACGAUCUAAGGAUGAAAGCGGGGGAUCGCAAGACCUCGCGCGAUUGGAGCGGCCGAUGGCAGAUUAGGUAGUUGGUGGGGUAAAGGCCUACCAAGCCGACGAUCUGUAGCUGGUCUGAGAGGACGACCAGCCACACUGGGACUGAGACACGGCCCAGACUCCUACGGGAGGCAGCAGUGGGGAAUUUUGGACAAUGGGCGCAAGCCUGAUCCAGCCAUUCCGCGUGCAGGAUGAAGGCCCUCGGGUUGUAAACUGCUUUUGUACAGAACGAAAAGGCUCUGGUUAAUACCUGGGGCUCAUGACGGUACUGUAAGAAUAAGCACCGGCUAACUACGUGCCAGCCGCCGCAGUAACAC
rnacentral:rRNA from 1 species